rnacentral:rRNA from 1 species
UUGAACGCUGGCGGCAUGCCUUACACAUGCAAGUCGAGCGGCAGCGCGGGGGCAACCCUGGCGGCGAGCGGCGGACGGGUGAGGAAUACAUCGGAAUCUACCUCGUUGUGGGGGAUAACGUAGGGAAACUUACGCUAAUACCGCAUACGACCGAAAGGUGAAAGUGGGGGACCGCAAGGCCUCACGCGAUGAGAUGAGCCGAUGUCGGAUUAGCUAGUUGGCGGGGUAAUGGCCCACCAAGGCGACGAUCCGUAGCUGGUCUGAGAGGAUGAUCAGCCACACUGGGACUGAGACGCGGCCCAGACUCCUACGGGAGGCAGCAGUGGGGAAUAUUGGACAAUGGGCGCAAGCCUGAUCCAGCCAUGCCGCGUGGGUGAAGAAGGCCUUCGGGUUGUAAAGCCCUUUUGUUGGGGAAGAAAUCGUACGGGUGAAUAUCCCGUGCGGAUGACGGUACCCAAAGAAUAAGCACCGGCUAACUUCGU